rnacentral:rRNA from 1 species
AUCAAAGGUGAGCCAGUACAGGAUGGACCCGCGUCUGAUUAGCUAGUUGGUAAGGUAACGGCUUACCAAGGCGACUAUCAGUAGCCGACCUGAGAGGGUGAGCGGCCACAUUGGAACUGAGACACGGUCCAAACUCCUACGGGAUGCAGCAGUGGGGAAUAUUGCACAAUGGGCGAAAGCCUGAUGCAGCAACGCCGCGUGAGGGAUGAAGGCCUUCGGGUCGUAAAACUCUGUCCUCAAGGAAGAUAAUGACGGUACUUGAGGAGGAAGCCCCGGCUAACUACUUGCCAGCAGCCGCGGUAAUACGUAGGGGGCUAGCGUUAUCCGGAUUUACUGGGCGUAAAGGGUGCGUAGGCGGUCUUUCAAGUCAGGAGUGAAAGGCUACGGCUCAACCGUAGUAAGCUCUUGAAACUGGGAGACUUGAGUGCAG